rnacentral:rRNA from 1 species
GUUUGAUCCUGGCUCAGGACGAACGCUGGCGGCGUGCUUAACACAUGCAAGUCGAACGAUGAACCACUUCGGUGGGGAUUAGUGGCGAACGGGUGAGUAACACGUGGGCAAUCUGCCCUUCACUCUGGGACAAGCCCUGGAAACGGGGUCUAAUACCGGAUACGACACUCUCGGGCAUCCGAUGAGUGUGGAGAGCUCCGGCGGUGAAGGAUGAGCCCGCGGCCUAUCAGCUUGUUGGUGAGGUAACGGCUCACCAAGGCGACGACGGGUAGCCGGCCUGAGAGGGCGACCGGCCACACUGGGACUGAGACACGGCCCAGACUCCUACGGGAGGCAGCAGUGGGGAAUAUUGCACAAUGGGCGAAAGCCUGAUGCAGCGACGCCGCGUGAGGGAUGACGGCCUUCGGGUUGUAAACCUCUUUCAGCAGGGAAGAAGCGAAAGUGACGGUACCUGCAGAAGAAGCGCCGGCUAACUACGUGCCAGCAGCCGCGGUAAUACGUAGGGCGCGAGCGUUGUCCGGAAUUAUUGGGCGUAAAGAGCUCGUAGGCGGUCUGUCGUGUCGGAUGUGAAAGCCCGGGGCUUAACCCCGGGUCUGCAUUCGAUACGGGCAGACUAGAGUGUGGUAGGGGAGAUCGGAAUUCCUGGUGUAGCGGUGAAAUGCGCAGAUAUCAGGAGGAACACCGGUGGCGAAGGCGGAUCUCUGGGCCAUUACUGACGCUGAGGAGCGAAAGCGUGGGGAGCGAACAGGAUUAGAUACCCUGGUAGUCCACGCCGUAAACGGUGGGAACUAGGUGUUGGCGACAUUCCACGUCGUCGGUGCCGCAGCUAACGCAUUAAGUUCCCCGCCUGGGGAGUACGGCCGCAAGGCUAAAACUCAAAGGAAUUGACGGAA